rnacentral:rRNA from 1 species
UGAGUAACGCGUGAGCAACCUGCCUUUCAGUGGGGGACAACAGUUGGAAACGACUGCUAAUACCGCAUAACACGGCGAGAUCGCAUGGUCUUGCUGUCAAAGAUUUAUCGCUGAAAGAUGGGCUCGCGUAUGAUUAGAUAGUUGGUGAGGUAACGGCUCACCAAGUCAACGAUCAUUAGCCGGACUGAGAGGUCGAACGGCCACAUUGGGACUGAGAUACGGCCCAGACUCCUACGGGAGGCAGCAGUGAGGAAUAUUGGGCAAUGGGCGAAAGCCUGACCCAGCAACGCCGCGUGAAGGAUGAAGGUUUUCGGAUUGUAAACUUCUUUUGUCAAGGACGAUAAUGACGGUACUUGACGAAUAAGCCACGGCUAACUACGUGCCAGCAGCCGCGGUAAUACGUAGGUGGCAAGCGUUGUCCGGAUUUACUGGGUGUAAAGGGCGAGUAGGCGGGUCUACAAGUCAGAUGUGAA